rnacentral:tRNA from 1 species
GCUUUCGUGGUGUAAUGGUCAGCAGUCAGCACACUGAGCCGGUAUUUCAGAGGUCCGUGGUUCGAUUCCCGGCGAAGGCG